rnacentral:rRNA from 1 species
UACGGAGGGUGCAAGCGUUAUCCGGAUUCACUGGGUUUAAAGGGUGCGUAGGAGGACUGGUAGGUCAGUGGUGAAAUCCCCGAGCUUAACUUGGGAACUGCCGUUGAUACUAUCAGUCUUGAAUACCGUGGAGGUGAGCGGAAUAUGUCAUGUAGCGGUGAAAUGCUUAGAUAUGACAUAGAACACCGAUUGCGAAGGCAGCUUGCUAAACAAUUAUUGACGCUGAGGCACGAAAGCGUGGGGAUCAAACAGG